CGGGCGCACGACGGAUGCCUUGGCAUCACGAGGCGAGGAAGGACGCGGUAAGCUGCGAUAAGCUGCGGUUAGUGGCAAGCACACGAUGACCCGCAGGUUUCCGAAUGGGGCAACCCCCCGCCCGUCAUGGGGCGGGAUCCCGGGAUGAACACAUAGUCCCGAGGAGGCGACACCGGGGGAAGUGAAACAUCUCAGUACCCCGAGGAGAGGAAAUCAACAGAGAUUGCGCAAGUAGCGGCGAGCGAACGCGCACCAGCCCAAACCGGGGCGUUCACGCCCCGGGGUUGCGGGACCGCGGCACGGCACGUGGGAGGUUAGGCGAACGGUCUGGAAAGGCCGGCGGAACAGGGUGAAAGCCCCGUAGCCGAAAGCCCGACACGGCCCAGCGGUAUCCCAAGUAAGGCGGGACACGUGAAACCCUGCCUGAAUCCGGGGGGCCCACCCUCCAAGGCUAAAUACUCCGUGAUGACCGAUAGUGGACAAGUACCGCGAGGGAAAGGUGAAAAGAACCCUUUUUAAGGGAGUGAAACAGACCUGAAAUCGUGCGCCCACAAGCUAUGGCGGCCUGCUUCGGCAGGUUGCCGUUUGCCUUUUGCAUAAUGAGUCCGCGAGUCACCCUGCGCGGCAAGGUUAACCGAAAGGGGAGCCGUAGCGAAAGCGAGUCCGAAACGGGCGUCAAGUCGCGCGGGGUGGACCCGAAGCCCGAGUGAGCUACCCAUGGGCAGGCUGAAGCCUCCGUAACAGGAGGUGGAGGGCCGAACCGGUGUCCGUUGAAAAGGGCUCGGAUGACCUGUGGGUUGGAGCGAAAGACUUAUCAAACCGGGUGAUAGCUGGUUCUCCUCGAAAUGCCUUUAGGGGCAGCCUCCUGUAACGCAACGCGCGGGGGUAGAGCACUGAUUGGUCUAGGGCCCCUGCCGGGGUACCGAAGCCUGUCAAACUCCGAAUACCGCGCGCGACAGCAGGGGAGUGAGACUGUGGGGGCUAAGCUUCACAGUCGAAAGGGAAACAGCCCAGACCGCCGAAUAAGGCCCCAAAACGACGCUAAGUCACUAAGGAUGUGGGGUUUCGAAGACAGCCAGGAUGUUGGCUUAGAGGCAGCCACCAUUUAAACAGUGCGUAACAGCUGACUGGUCGAGAGAUCCCGCGCCGAAAAUGAUCGGGAGUCAAGCGCCGUGCCGAAUUCGCGGAUCGAGAGAUGGUAGGGGAGCGUCGCCUGACGGGACGAAGCCGCGAGCGCAAGCCGCGGUGGACUUCAGGCGAGUGAUUAUGCGGACAUGAGUAACGAAAACCAGGGUGGGAAUCCCUGGCGCCGGAAUCCCAAGGUUUCCCGGGGCAGGUUCGUCCGCCCGGGGUUAGCCGGCACCUAAGCCGAGGCCGAAAGGCGCAGGCGAUGGACGGAAGGUGAACAUUCCUUCGCUUCCGGCAAGAGUUUGACCGACGGGGAGCGCGGAAAGCUAAGCGGGAGGGCUGAUGGACGCCCUUUUGAGUGCGUAGGGCGGGCCGCAGGUAAAUCCGCGGCCCGGACGCCUGAAACACGGUCGAGCGGCCCGGCGACGGGACGCGAGCCGCCUAUGCUCAGCCGCCGAGAAAAACCCCUAGGGAUCGAGCCGGGAACCGUACCUAAACCGACACAGGUGGGAGGGUACCAGUAUACCAAGGCGCGCGAGAGAAACCUCGUUAAGGAACUCGGCAAUCUAGCCCCGUAACUUCGGGAGAAGGGGUCCCCCGCGAGGGGGCGCAGUGAACGGGCCCAUGCGACUGUUUAACAAAAACACAGCACCCUGCAAACGCGCAAGCGGACGUAUAGGGUGUGACACGUGACCAAUGCGGAAAGGUCAAGGCGAGGGGUCAGCCGCGAGGCGAAGCUCCGAACCGAAGCCCCCGUGAAUGUCGGCCGUAACUAUAACGGUCCUAAGGUAGCGAAAUUCCUUGUCGGGUAAGUUCCGACCUGCACGAAUCGUGUAACGAUAUGGGCGCUGUCUCAACGAGGAUCUCGGUGAAGUUGUAAUGCCGGUGAAAAUGCCGGAUACCCGCAGAAGGACGGAAAGACCCUGUGAACCUUUACUGUAAUCUGGUACUGGAUUCUGGCCACUUAUGCGUAGCAUAGCCGGGAGCCUUGGAAGCCCCCCCUUCGGGGGGGGCGGAGGCGCCAGUGAAAUACCGGUCUUAAGUGGACGGGAUUCUAACCGCGAGCCGUCAUCCGGCCGCGGGACAAUGCCAGAGGGUCAGUUUGACUGGGGCGGUUUCCUCCCAAACGAUAACGGAGGAGUUCGAAGGUACACUCAGCACGGUCGGCAACCGUGCGCAGAGCGCAAGGGCAGAAGUGUGCUUAACUGCGAGAGGGACACCUCGAGCAGAUGCGAAAGCAGGACCUAGUGAUCCGGCGGUGGCUAGUGGUAGCGCCGUCGCUCAACGGAUAAAAGGUACUCCGGGGAUAACAGGCUGAUCGCCGCCGAGAGUUCACAUCGACGCGGCGGUUUGGCACCUCGAUGUCGGCUCAUCGCAUCCUGGGGCUGGAGAAGGUCCCAAGGGUUUGGCUGUUCGCCAAUUAAAGCGGUACGCGAGCUGGGUUCAGAACGUCGUGAGACAGUUCGGUCCUUAUCCU
rnacentral:rRNA from 1 species